GGAGAUGUCGCCUAACUGGCAUGGCAGCACCCCGCUAAGGUGCCGGGAGAAAUCCUGUGAGCGUUCGAAUCGCUCCAUCUCCGCCA
rnacentral:tRNA from 1 species